rnacentral:lncRNA from 1 species
AAUUAUAAGGUUCUAGUGCGAGAAUAGUAUUUUGUACUAUUCUAGAUGUUUUGCGGGUUGUAGGUUGAAGGUUAACCUGUUUCUGGUUUGUAUUAGGCGUGAGAAAGGGUUCCCGACAUUAAAAUUUGCAAACAACAGGUUUUAGUGCUGAGUAUCGGUACUAAAGUGAGGUACUGGAACCCUAUAAAGUGCCAAAAUAGGUAGCUCUCGAGUUUUGAGGAACCAGGUUGCGACCCGUGUACCCGUGUACUGGUACGUGGACCCGUGUACCGGUACGUGGUUCCUCAAAACAGGUUAAAUGCAGUACCGGUACGUGGACCCGUGUACCGGUACGCCGUGACAGAUUCUGAAUAGUCGAAACUGCAGGGGUGUUUUUGCAAUGUGG